ensembl:lncRNA
UGGCAAUCCUCUCCAGUAUUCUUGCCUGGGAAAUCCCAUGGACAGAGGAGCCUAGAAGGCAUCAGUCCAUAGGGUCACAAAGAGUCUGACAUUCCUUGGGUUUAAAGGAAAUUAUUUCCCCAGUGAUAUUUGAGCAAUUAAGUUAGAAGCAUAAUAUUCAUAUCUCAGUUAACUAAGGACUGAAGAGCAUUCUACUUCCAUUUGAGUUGAUCUUUAUUUCCCCUGGAUAACAAUGGUACAUACCCUUUGUGUCUUUCAGAGAGUUAAACCUUUAUUUGUGCAAUCCAAAACGAACUUGGCAACAGUGACGACGUCUUCUACAAGUGUUGAUCAUUCAUCUUCGGUAAACAUCAAGUAUGAAGAUGUAGGCAACAAUCAGAUUUCCUUCCCACUUUCACAACAAGUGAGGUCAGAAUAUCUGGAGGAAGAAUCUCCGGAGGAGAAGCAGUCGACGCCCCGGAACACCACAGAGAGCAACACGGCUGCUCCCGAGUAGCGGCAAAGAACACUGCGCUGCUCAGAGCAGGGGGUGGGGUGGGGGCAGGAAGAGGGCCCUUACCACCCUGGCAGAAGGCCUGCCUCCCUGACGAAGGACACUGUCUUCAGGGCGUUUCUAACCUAACUGUACCGUCUUCAGAUGCCGCAUACUCAUUGGCGCACUUGAAGAGAACGCGAAGUGCGCGCUCUGCGCGCGCUUUGUGCGCACCUUUCCAAACCCUUCAAGAAACCGCUGGCUGGUGCGUGGUGAGCGGGGCGCACAGACCGUGAGCCGCCGCCACAUCCAUCCGGGCGCUCCCUGGGCUCAGCAGGGCGCCCCCAGCGCCUUAGGGUGGGAAGGAACGAACUUCAAUUAAAACUUAAAAGCUUGAGGCACUAACCCUGCGUCAUUCCCUCUCUAAUCCACCUGGAAUCCCUGUAACGCUAAGUCAAACUGAUUUGCUGUCUACUCAUCCACCAACUGAUCCAUAAAGGCGUACCAGAAAACCUCGAAGGAGAUUUUAAAUGUCUUCCAAGGAGGUCCACUCUUACAUAGGCGCGGGGCUCCUAGACAUAUCUUAAACGCCGUAAACAAUUUUUAGUAAGUGUGGAAACUCCUUGGGGUUGUGUUUCCUGGUAAAUAUCGAGAUGAAGAUUCACGCAUCUCUUCUUUCAGAAUGUCAGGCACCAUUUUCUGAAAGACCGGUUUGCUUUCAUCCGUGCGUAAUGGUCAAACCAGCCCUUUCGGUUCCCUUGUCUACAAGUCAGGCCCAGACUGCAGCCCAGUUUCAAGAUCGUAAGCUCUGGCUUACAGAUUUAUAAAGACGUUUAUUAAAUCUCAAGAAAUAUAUUUGCGGUGGCUAUCACAUAAAGCUGAUGUACUCUGGUGCAAAAGAAAGCUACAGAGGCGAUUUGUUUGUGCGUAAAAGGCACCAGAUUUAACUGGAGAGAGACGUGGUAUUUUCAACCCGAGGACACAGGGUGGCAUAGCGCCCUGAAGCAUUAUUCGAGCUUCAUCUACUAUGCACUAUAUGCCACCGUCUCCAAAGGAGUGUUGCCCUAGAAACUUGUUUUAAUCUGCUGCUAUAUAUCAACACCUUGUUUUAGCAGUCCUUGGCUGAAUUACAGUUACACAGUUUGGCGCUUCUUUCAAAUUUCCUCCCAUCAGUUUGGCUAAAGAAAGGAAUUUUUCUCCUUUAGAAAUGAAUUGGCUUAAUUAGUAAGUAGAUUAAUGGCAAUUGCUGGUGAGUUGGUUUCCAGCAGAGUUUCACCAGAGAGGGUUAAUCGGAGUCAGGUCUGGAAGCUUUCCCAGAACUGGCUGCCAGCCAUUUCCACCAACCAAUCAACCCUACAAGAAGCGGAGGAAGUGAAAUAGAAUUUAUAUUCUCUGGGCUGUUAUCCUGGACGGAAAUUCCUUGGAAGCAGCCUCCUGGUUGAGUGUAGGAUGGACUAUUUCACUUUAGAAUUUUCAGAGAAACCUCGAAAGGUUUCACCUUUAAGAUUUAUCUGGGUACCAAAGAGGAAUUUCACAUGGCACAAUGAGUGACUACAAAACACUGAGGGCACAUUGAAAAUGCUUGUGAAGCUGUCAGUCAAUUUCAGGUUUUACAGAAGUUGUGCAAACCUCCCAAGUUCCACCCUAAAUCUUAUCUACCAGAAACUUUUUACAAACUUCAGUUGUGUGUUCUGCAGCCUUUUCACUUAUUUUUUCCACAGUGAUAAAAAUGCAUUCAUAGUUUAACUUGCAGCUGCAUUACUCUUGCAAAAAAAAAAAAAAUCCCUGCUGAGAAAUGCAUAUAAUAGGAAAAACAGAUCGGCUGGACAGCAGUGUAAUUAAUGCCAGAAAGGGCUGAGGCCGGUUUCAUAGUUUGUCUUUUGAGGAUAUUAAGACGAGACCUGGUGAAAAAUGACGCAUGCUUUAGCAUUUCAGAAAGCUGGCAACUGGCAGCGCUUUUCCUUUUUUCUUUGACUUUCUGCCUCAGAACAAAGAGGUCGGCAGAACUAGCUAGGUUGUAAUGAGUUCUAUGUCCCUAGCACAUUAAGUGCAUCAUGGAAACAUAUUGUAUCGAAAUAGUUUGGAGGAGAAUACCGGGGAUGAAAGAGAAUGGGUGCUUUGAUCAGCUCCCUGGGGUCCUGAGCGCGCACAGACUGACUUGCAAGGCGUUAUUCAGCUCCAGCUAGACACACUUACAACACCAUUCAAAGAAAUUUGCAUAUCUGUAAUUUAUCACAUUGGUCCAGAACAUUUUUGCAAGGUAAAUAAAAGUUGGCUGAAUAAAAAAAAUCAAUCAUCGCAUAUAUAGUGGAAACUGUGAAGCCUGUCUCCAUUAAAAGCAUAAAUAAAUAUGUCCAUGAAACAUGAUGAUUUAGAGGCUGAUUUUAUUAUAAAAUGUCCUUAGAGCAACAGGUUAUGUGCUGACAGAGUGGCCGCCAUUUCUUUGUGCUUCUACUUUAGGGGAGUGUAUGUGCAGCUUCUACUGGAAUAAAGGCAGAAAGUUGAAUAGAUGUGUGGCUAUAACCAGCNNNNNNNNNNNNNNNNNNNNNNNNNNNNNNNNNNNNNNNNNNNNNNNNNNNNNNNNNNNNNNNNNNNNNNNNNNNNNNNNNNNNNNNNNNNNNNNNNNNAGCAACAUUAGUACACACUUGGAGGAGAUAUGAAAGAUGGUUCAAUCUCCUUGGUGUCUGCAAAUUCUGAGGUUAAAUUUCAUUUCUUCUCCUGUUGAUUUCGUUGCCAAGCCCUGGUUGCUGAAUUUAGAAGCUCAAAGGGAUGAAAUAUCCCGACAUCCGGUCAAUAGGAAAACUUGCUUUGGAAUGCCCCAUGAGAACAAGUGAAAAUUUAACAGGCAGGCAUUGUUCUGAGUUUUUAAACAACCCAGUUAAACAGCAAACAAGAAUCUUCAACUUGACCUUGAAAAAGGCUGUGGGCCUGCAGAU